rnacentral:Y_RNA from 1 species
GGCUGGUCUGAAGGUCGUGAGUUAUCUCCAUCGACUGUUCACAGUCAGUUACAGAUUGAACUCCUUGUUCUACUUUCCCCCCUUCUCUCUACUACACUUCACUAGUCUUUA